rnacentral:lncRNA from 1 species
CGGUUUCAUUAAUUUUCAGGAGUUCUCCGACCUCUGCCGCUCUAACUCCUGUGACUCCUCCGCGGAGCUCCGUGACGCCUUCGACCUCUACGAUCAAGAUCACAACGGCCUCAUCUCCUCCUCCGAGCUCCACCUCGUCUUGAACCGCCUCGGCAUUAAAUGCUCCGUGGAGGACUGUGUUCGCAUGAUCGGCCCCGUCGAUUCCGACGGCGACGGCAAUGUUAACUUUGAGGAGUUCCAGAAGAUGAUGACAACUUCCCUUGCUCCCGCCAAAGAGUAGAUUUCAUUCUCUCCUCUUUCCUCAAUUGCUUAUAUUAUUGGGGAAGGAGGAUUAUGAACCUCUUCUGAUGUGG